rnacentral:rRNA from 1 species
AUUGAACGCUAGCGGGAUGCUUUACACAUGCAAGUCGAACGAGUGGCGGACGGGUGAGUAAUGUAUGGGGAUCUGCCCGAUAGAGGGGGAUAACUACUGGAAACGGAGCUAAUACCGCAUACUAUCGGAUGCACCCAUAUGGGAUUAGCUAGUAGGUGAGGUAAUGGCUCACCUAGGCGACGAUCCCUAGCUGGUCUGAGAGGACGACCAGCCACACUGGGAAUGAGACACGGCCCAGACUCCGACGGGAGGCAGCAGUGGGGAAUUUUGGACAAUGGGGGAAACCCUGAUCCAGCCAUGCCGCGUGUAUGAUGAAGGCCUUCGGGUUGGAAAGUACUUUUGGCAGAGAAGCGGUAUCUGCAGAAGAAGCACCGGCUAACUACGUGCCAGCAGCCGCGGUAAUAC